rnacentral:sRNA from 1 species
UUAUGGGCGCCGCUGGAUUCGGCUACUAUGGAGAGUAUCGAUGAUGAUAUCCCAGGGCAAUGGCAAUCUUUAGGACAGAAAGAUUUUGUUCUGACACCCGAAAUGUUUUUGUCAAUGGUGCAACAGAAUACUCCAUCUCCAAAUGGCCAGGAAGCCCCGAUAGAAAUCCCUUUGCUCUGGGGAAAUUUCGGACUUUAGUGGUGCCUGAUUACUCCAUCGAGGAAUGGAGUUAAUGAGGAGUUUUUUUACGCUGGAUAAUGUAUAGUAUAUACAUGUUGCAUAAUGAGAACCCAAUGGAAAGGAGGUGCUGGCAAUUAGCAUAACUAAUAGAAACAUAAAGGUUAAAUACCCAAUUCCUGCGCUCUGGGUUCCAAUAGCAAAGGGGUGGGUGUGGGUGGCCUUAAAGCAAUACACGUAU